UUUUAUCUCACUUUUGUACUUGCAAACUUAUGGUGUGCAGUCGAAUCCUCGAAUGCCACUUGAGGGAUGCCACAGCUACGCUGCAAAUGGCAGAUCAACAGUUAUCUCCUUUGUUGGAUGCGGAAUCUAGUGUAGGACUACAUCCACAUGAAAGUGAUGACGAAGAUGAAAUGACUUCAUCUUGUCUCCGAGAACCCGAGGUGACAGAUUAUGCUGUCUUGAUUGGAUCGUAUAUAGUAUGGUGAAGCAGGAUUGUACAAUGCAGGAUAAGAUUGUUAAAUCUCUAAAUCUCAAGACAACAUCCGAAGAACUAGAGAGCUAUUCCCUGAUGUGGACGUUGUGACCUUACAUCAACGAUCAAACUAUGCAGCUAGCUUGGAAGCUUGUUCCUUGAGACAUGUCUCUGUUUUGUAAGAACCCAAAAUUUGUUUUGU